rnacentral:misc_RNA from 1 species
UGCUGCUGUAUGCAAUGGCUGUAUGUCAACAUUUGUCAACAACGCAUUGUUUGUAAAAACUUUUAUGUUUUUUUUUUAUUAUUUUUAAGUUAUUAUGAACAAUUACAAAGGUAAAGUAAGCUACGAAAGUCCCUGCGACUCAGAUAAUGAUUGGACCAACUCAUCUGAUGACUCAAAGUAUUCAGAUUCCGAAAGCUCUGUACCUGAGUGGGAUUCCGAUGUUGGUGAAGAUGGGGAAUUAGUAUACAUAAAAACAAGAAUAAAUAGUGAGACUGCAGACAGCAAAACGCCUUUGUUAGAAAGUUGUGAAACCUUCAAACUUAGAAAUAACUUUAAAAGAUCCUCAACUAGGCGGUCUACGAAAGGAAGGAUAUUCAAAGUAUUAAAAGCACACAGGUCAAAAAAUACUGAGGGUGCUUUAAAAUCAAGUACGGGAGUAUUAUCUACAGAUGGAAAUAAGAAUGUAUCAACAGAUGAGAAAAAUAUCAUUAUUCAGGUUAGCAAAAGCAUGAUAUUUAGCAGUGAAAAAAAUUGCCAGUUGGAAAAACUCUUUGGCUUAAGCCUUGAGACUCAUGCUGAUGGCAAGACUUUGACAGUUGCAGAUUUUUUAACAGAAGCCAGAGCUAUUUACACUCCUAAAAUAAAAAAGGGAUAUUACUUAUCAAAAAUAAAUGGUGUUGAAGUGAAUUCUUAUAAUAUCAAUAAUAUUCUACAGAGGGUUGUUGAAGAUCACAACAGUCCAAGGUUAACAUUUCAAGUGCCAACAGAAGGUCAUAAUGUUGAUUUGGAAAAGCUAUUGAAGUCCAAAAACGCUCCAGAUAAUUCACUGACUCACUUAUUGAAAGAGUCACUAUGUUCAGUCCUUUACAUAUGUUGUAAUGACAUAGAAUAUAACAGUAAUGAUGACAAAGGUGUUCUUUACUGCUAUCCAAGGCCUUUUAACCAGAACUUCUUAUACAACACUAGAGGAGCUUAUGUGACAUUGAAUCAUUUAGCACCUAAGUCUUUAGGGACCAGUGAACCAACAAACUCAACUGUCCUCCAUAAUAAUACUUUGAUCAAUGUAACUUACACUUCACAUUACAAUGAUCUUUUGUUAGUGGCAUUCCCAAACAAACAAGUUGAUUUGUUUGCAGCUAAAAAAGUAAUAGCUCAAGUAGUGAGACUGCUAGAGUUUCUAUAUGGUUCUCUUAAAACUAGCUUCACUAAACCUAAUAAUGUUGACAAAUUGGAUAGUUUAUUUGCCCGUAUUUUCGUCACUUUGGUAAUAAACAAUAAGGGGAGCAAAGAGGAUCCUAUAAGGAAUGUGGGUUUAUAUUUAGAAGAUGUCUUAGCUGCUCAUUCAGUUAUACUGCCUUUAGAAGUAAGGGUGCAAGUUGAUGAUGCAAUAACUGAAUUGGAAGCUGCUGAUUAUCGUGAAUGGACAGAUGAUGUAGAAAACUUUCAAAGACUGUACACAGUAGUUGGAUCCUGCUUAUACUACUCAGGUCAUUUGUUGAGUUCACACUUGCAAGAUGAUGACUUGAAGGAAAUCAAUGCAUAUUUACAAUUGAAUGGCAUUUUGAAGCUGAGCUCAGAAAAGGAGCUAGAGAAACUUGUAAUUUGGAAAGAGGUUUUUGUCAAUGAACACAGAACUAUGAACAAGAAUGAUGGAAAUGAGUAUAGGAUUUGUGAUGGGCGCUGGUUUCUCCUUACUGUUGGAAAGGGACAUUUCAUACUGGCAACACUGAUGGAAGCUGGUGGCUGUACAGAGGAUGCAGUUGGAGUAACGCCACCAUCACCAUUUUAUGUUGAGGAAUGCGAGAGUUGUUUAGAGUUACUGUACGACGUUGGACUUAAUAAAUAUCUGGCAACAUGGUAUGGUUCCAAUUUACAGCCUCAAGUUGAAAUUGCACCAGAGUAUCUUACCAAGUAUGGAAGAAAAAUAAGGGAUGUUAACACGCUGAAACCAGACUCGCCACUCAAAACCUCAACUCUUAAACUAUCAAAGUUACAAUCAGAAAAACGCCGUCACAAUUCUUCUGAACAAAUCAACGUAGGCUCGAGUACGAGUGACAUGAACUCUAUGAGUUCUCUCACUAACUAUGGCAGCCAUCACAGUUUGUAUGGACAAUCUUACAACACGGCACAAAAAUACAGACAUUCUAGCUUAGAUGUCAGUUAUUCUGAAGAUUCUAAUAGCUUGAAAAGUAAUAGCGAAGUUAGUGAAGAGCGCGUACAAGGUCGGAGAGCGGAUAGAGAACAACGAAAUCGAAGGGACUCUUCAGGCUCAGAAUCGGAUUGGGAUAAGCUGGAUGGGAGUAGAACAAGUGGCAGUAUGGACAUGUCAGAUAUCAGGAAGUCUUUAUUGAAUGAAAUUAAUCAAGUUCCUGUACAGAGAAUUACAGCAGGAGAAGAAAAUGUUUUAUUCCACUUUGUUCAGUUGGAAUCCGAGAAGGGGAUGCUAAUUGCGCCAGUGAAGAAUUUAGAAUUGCAAGCCAACAAUGUACUCUAUUCUUACAUAGUUAAGACAUUUAGAUCAGCUUGUAAGCGAAUACACGAGCUGUUGCAACAUAGUAUAAGAUUUAAGAAGAAUCACGCGCCAUCGAACCCGUUGAACAAAAUUCUGGUAGCUGUGAAAGAACACGGAAUGCUAUUUCAAGUGCCUCUCGAUAUUCUAAGCCAAUGCGGCGUCAGCAAGAAGAACACCGAACCAUACCUGUUCUGGGUUGUUGGGUAAUUUUUAUACAAACCAUAUCUGUCUGUCUCCUUCUUCUAUCUAUGGCAGAGCCGAGUUUUCAGUGAACCAGAGCCAAGAGAAUUAUAUUUGUGUUAUCAUGAGUCUGUGCCUCAAGAUCUCACUGAAGUAGCAUAUUUGCUGUCGUACUUAGAAUAAGUAAAAAUAUUCAUUUUAAAACAGCCUUUUAU